GUCAUGAAACUCAAAAGCUAAUUUUAAAAAGGCUAAGAAACAUUUGAUUUAUUCUGGAAAGUUUCUGUAUAUGUGUAGUGUGUUUUGAUAAAAUGGGCACCCCAAGAUUAUAUAAAGCCUUACACAGUAAAUGGUUAAUGUAUGCUCUAAAUGUUAACAAGAGCAAUAAAAAGUCCAGAAAGCUCUGAAUUUGCAAUCAAGCAGAACAUAAAGAUUUAGAAUAUGAAAAAUACUUUGGACCUACAAAUGCUUUUCUUUUGCAGGGGAGCAGUCCAGUAAUUACACAAAAGUAAGCUAUCUAAUCAAUGUUCAUCCCUUCCCUUCCUAUGAGGAUUAGCUCAUCAAGAUGAUCUGGAGUCUAAAGCAACAACAACAAAAAAGUUCAAGUAUGCAGUGAACAAGAGGAGAAAGGAAGAUGGGGAAGAACACAGAGAGGAGAGCUGUAAAGGAGGUCAAAAUCUUUGUAAGUGAUCCAGAAAAUAUAAGAUUUUAUCUUGGUCAGGAAAAUUAUUUAAUUGAUAUGGGCCUUGAGAGCUUAAAUAUUAAGAUGCUUGGGGAAGAAAAUAAGAUAAUAUAAAAUUAAUAAUUGUUAUUUUUCAAAAAUAGGUUUCAUGACAUGAACCAGU
rnacentral:lncRNA from 1 species